CCUACGGGCGGCAGCAGUGGGGAAUAUUGCACAAUGGGGGAAACCCUGAUGCAGCGACGCCGCGUGAGUGAAGAAGUAAUUCGUUACGUAAAGCUCUAUCAGCAGGGAAGAAACACUGACCUUACGGUCAGCAGACGGUACCUGAGUAAGAAGCCCCGGCUAACUACGUGCCAGCAGCCGCGGUAAUACGUAGGGGGCAAGCGUUAUCCGGAUUUAAUGGGGGUAAAGGGAGCGUAGGCGGUGCGCCAAGUCUGGAGUGAAAUGCCGCAGGUUAACUGCGGAACUGCUUUGGAAACUGGCGAACUAGAGUGCGGGAGGGGUAAGCGGAAUUCGUAGUGUAGCGGUGAAAUGCGUAGAUAUUAGGAGGAACACCGGUGGCGAAGGCGGCUUACUGGACCGUAACUGACGUUGAGGCUCGAAAGCGUGGGGAGCAAACAGGAUUAGAUACCCUUGUAGUC
rnacentral:rRNA from 1 species